rnacentral:rRNA from 1 species
UUCGUCCAAUUGAAGCAGAGGACAGUGGCGGACGGGUGAGUAACGCGUGAGGAACCUGCCUUGAAGAGGGGGACAACAGUUGGAAACGACUGCUAAUACCGCAUAACAUAGAAGAUUCGCAUGUUUCUUCUAUCAAAGAUUUAUCGCUGAAAGAUGGCCUCGCGUCUGAUUAGCUAGUUGGUGAGGUAACGGCCCACCAAGGCGACGAUCAGUAGCCGGACUGAGAGGUUGAACGGCCACAUUGGGACUGAGAUACGGCCCAGACUCC